rnacentral:lncRNA from 1 species
GGACCACACCUGCCGCGAAGGUUACAGUCGGUGAAGUAGAUCGGGGACACGAACUUCUCCACCCGCUCGAAAGUGGUGCGCCAGUGCUUCAAGAACGGCGCUGCCGCCAUGGCGAUGCGCCUUCCCUCCCCGGAAGAUCCUUGGUGCUGCCGGCUCGUUGCACCGCUUGGAACCAAAGGUUCCGGCAUCCAACCAGCUUACAGACCCGAGCAGCUUUUCUGGGAACACCACGGCUUUUGCAAGAGGCUGGCUCUGGGGAGCCUCCCAGUGAAACCCGGAAGCUGAGCCUUCGCGGUUCUCACCUCAGCCUUGCUGUCAGACAGCUGGGUAAAUUAUUUUUAAAUACAAUGGUACUAAAUCUGAAGCCACAUAGUACUAUGGUACAUAAGAAGCUAGAGCAGUUAUGCUAGCACAUCAAAGCAUAUUUCUUUAAUAAAAAAUUGACAGUAUGU